UACGUAGGGUGCAAGCGUUGUCCGGAAUUAUUGGGCGUAAAGAGCUCGUAGGCGGCUUGUCGCGUCGGCUGUGAAAACCUGGGGCUCAACCCCGGGGCCUGCAGCCGAUACGGGCAAGCUAGAAUUCGGUAGGGGAGACUGGAAUCCUGGUGUAGCGGUGAAAUGACGCAGAUAUCAGGAGGAACACCGGUGGCGAAGGCGGGUCUCUGGGCCGAAAUUGACGCUGAGGAGCGAAAGCGUGGGGAGCAAACAGG
rnacentral:rRNA from 1 species